UCCNCUGCUUUUAGGAAGGUUUUGAUGGAA
rnacentral:piRNA from 1 species